AACAACAUGAGGACUCCCAACAAUAUGGGCCCCCCGCCCCCCAACACGGGUCCAAUGCCUCCCCACAACAUGGGUCCAAACUACAGUAAUGUGCAGCAGCCAAACAACUGGAGUGGUGGCCAGCCCAACAACAAUAGCAAUCAGAUGCCUCAUAAUUAUAAUCAGAUGCCGCCGCCACCGCCUAACUACAAUCAGAUGCCCCCCAACAACAUGGGAGGUGUGCCACCAAACAACAUGAGAGGGAUGCCACCAAACAACAUGGGAGGAGUGCCCCCACCACCAAAUAACAUGGGAGGUCCACCGCCUAAUGCAGGAUGGGGGAGUCCUGGGCAAUACCAAG
rnacentral:lncRNA from 1 species